rnacentral:ncRNA from 2 species
UAGUUUUGUAAAAUCAAUGGUGUACUGCGUCCGUACGGGCAAAGUCAUAAUAGGGAAUCCCGUGAAAAUCGGGGACAGUUCCCGCUGCUGUAAGCUCUUAAAAAUCUUUUCGAUAACCUCAUGCCACUGUUUGAAACCAGGAAAAGUUCCUGAAGAAUGGGAAGGCCACCGGAAAGAGAGUAAGUCAGAAGACCUGCCAUUGUAAAACACAAAAU